AACGAACGCUGGCGGCAGGCUUAACACAUGCAAGUCGAACGCAUCCUUCGGGGUGAGUGGCAGACGGGCGAGUAACGCGUGGGAACGUGCCCUUCAGUUCGGGAUAACCCAGGGAAACUUGGGCUAAUACCGGAUACGUGCGAGAGCAGAAAGAUUUAUCGCUGAAGGAUCGGCCCGCGUCUGAUUAGCUAGUUGGUGGGGUAAUGGCCCACCAAGGCGACGAUCAGUAGCUGGUCUGAGAGGAUGAUCAGCCACAUUGGGACUGAGACACGGCCAAAACGCCUGCGGGAGGAAGGAGGGGGGAAUAUUGAACAAUGGGCGCAAGCGUGCUCCAGCCAUGCCGCGUGAGUGAUGAAGGCCUUAGGUUUUUAAAGCUCUUUCGUCCGGGACGAUAAGGCCGGUACCGGAAGAAGAAGCCCCGGCUAACUUCGUGCCAGCCGCCGCGGUAA
rnacentral:rRNA from 1 species